rnacentral:pre_miRNA from 1 species
UUGGGCAAAAUCAAUGUGGAUCCCACACUUUGGAAAUGAGUCCCACAUAAAAUGGUGGGAUCCACAUUGAUUUUGCCUAG